UAUGUCUAUGAACUACAAAAAUAUAAUAGACAUAUUUUCACCAUUCUUGACUGCUCAUCCUUUGAAAAAAUUAUCAAUGAGUUGGGUAACUUACAAAGAUAAUUAACCUUAUAUAGGUUCUGAUCAGUUUUUUGGUACGUAUUUGAAAUAAUGGGUAAAAAACUAGAAAGAACCUUAUUUCAUGCGAGACAUACUUAUUCAAGAUACUCGCACUUACAAAAAGGGUAGGUAACAACGAAAGCUUCUGGGAAAGAAAAUAGGUAGGUACCUAUAUCAUUUCAAUCGAUGUAACAGCCCUUCCUUUCAUAUUUACAUACAUGCGUUAUCUUUGAUGGUUAUCAAUAAUGAUAAAUUUUCUAGGAAGCUUUUCUCAUUGAGAAUUAAUUCAGAAAAAAUGCCUACCUAGCUAAUCGUGGGCAAAGAUGAUUUUUAUUCCAUUAUGAGUAGUACCUAGUUUCAUGAAGUUAGAUAUUUUUAUGACUGAAGAAUGAAAACAAUUUUACUUUUGAUACUCGGCUUAUGUUGGCAACCAGCUGCUGAAUCGCGAGUUUUACAAGCUGAAGCAGUUAAAAUUCAGCAGCCGGAACCAGUUGCUGAAUACUAUACGUACGAAGACCCUCCAGAUUUAAGGUACCUAGAUGAUUCAGGAUCUUACCAAGGGCCGGCUUAUGCGCCAAAGGAAUUCAUGCGUAAAGAUAAUCGUGCCUUUGAAGCGAUUUGGAAAAAAAAUUGACGAUACAUAUGUAUCUACUAGUCAAUUCAAUGCAAAUUUCACCAACUAGGUACUGUAUCAGUGAAAUAAAUGGUAUUUUUUGUAGA